UACGGAGGAUGCGAGCGUUAUCCGGAUUUAUUGGGUUUAAAGGGUGCGUAGGCGGACGCUUAAGUCAGCGGUAAAAUUGCGGGGCUCAACCUCAUCGAGCCGUUGAAACUGGGUGUCUUGAGUGGGCGAGAAGUACGCGGAAUGCGUGGUGUAGCGGUGAAAUGCAUAGAUAUCACGCAGAACUCCGAUUGCGAAGGCAGCGUACCGGCGCCCAACUGACGCUGAAGCACGAAGGCGUGGGUAUCGAACAGG
rnacentral:rRNA from 1 species